rnacentral:pre_miRNA from 1 species
AGGAGGAACAACAAUAGUGUCAGUGGUCAGCUCUGGAGCCCUGGAUUCAGCUCCUGCAGUAACUAUGGAGCUCUCAGUCUGCAGGGGCCUAGAUGCUCCGGGGGUGG